AGUCGAGCGAGCUUGCCUAGAUGAUUUUAGUGCUUGCACUAAAUGAAACUAGAUACAAGCGAGCGGCGGACGGGUGAGUAACACGUGGGUAACCUGCCCAAGAGACUGGGAUAACACCUGGAAACAGAUGCUAAUACCGGAUAACAACACUAGACGCAUGUCUAGAGUUUGAAAGAUGGUUCUGCUAUCACUCUUGGAUGGACCUGCGGUGCAUUAGCUAGUUGGUAAGGUAACGGCUUACCAAGGCAAUGAUGCAUAGCCGAGUUGAGAGACUGAUCGGCCGCAUUGGGACUGAGACACGGCCCAAACUCCUACGGGAGGCAGCAGUAGGGAAUCUUCCACAAUGGACGAAAGUCUGAUGGAGCAACGCCGCGUGAGUGAAGAAGGGUUUCGGCUCGUAAAGCUCUGUUGGUAGUGAAGAAAGAUAGAGGUAGUAACUGGCCUUUAUUUGACGGUAAUUACUUAGAAAGUCACGGCUAACUACGUGCCAGCAGCCGCGGUAAUACGUAGGUGGCAAGCGUUGUCCGGAUUUAUUGGGCGUAAAGCGAGUGCAGGCGGUUCAAUAAGUCUGAUGUGAAAGCCUUCGGCUCAACCGGAGAAUUGCAUCAGAAACUGUUGAACUUGAGUGCAGAAGAGGAGAGUGGAACUCCAUGUGUAGCGGUGGAAUGCGUAGAUAUAUGGAAGAACACCAGUGGCGAAGGCGGCUCUCUGGUCUGCAACUGACGCUGAGGCUCGAAAGCAUGGGUAGCGAACAGGAUUAGAUACCCUGGUAG
rnacentral:rRNA from 1 species